rnacentral:lncRNA from 1 species
GCGCCGCCGCUGCCAACCCGGAAGGAGCCCGGAGGGGCCCGGGCGGCCAGGGCGCCCCCGCCAGGAGGCCCGCCAGGUGUCCACCUGAGCCCCACGCCCUGCGCCGCGGGGCCCUUUUGGGGGCGGGGUGCCAGCUCCGAGGUGUCCUCCCACGGGCUGUAGACUGGGAAACUGAGGCCCGGGCCACGGUCCCAGACGCAGCCGGGACCCGAACCCACCUCACCUGAGCGAAUGAUAUCCGGGACUCAUCCUUUUUCGACACCUUUGCGGGAUCCAGCCCUCCAAGGAAAGCUUCCUGAGCAGUGCGCGCCACGUGUAUUGGGCACCUCACCGCGGCCACUUCACAUCCUAUCUCAGGUGGAGAAACUAAGCCACAGAAAGGAGCUGUCAUUUACCUAAAGCACCGUGGCAGGGGUUUGGCAGAGCCAGGAUUUGUACCCAGAUCGCCUGACUUCGGAGAGUAACAGCUCUUAACCACAGCACUUCGGUCUAUGCCUUGAUUUCACCAUAUGUAACAAGCAGCUGUGCCACUUUGCAUUCCCACCAGCAGCACGCAAGCGUUCGAAUUUCUCCGCACGCUCCCCAACAGGACAAGAGCUUGCCGUGUUGCCCCAGGCUGGUCUCAAACUCCUAGCCUCAAGCAAACUUCCUGUCUCGGCCUUUCAAAACCCUGAGAUUACAAGCAUAAGAAAAGAAAAUCUUGUAAGAUGAAAGCUGAAGGAUGAGAGCAAUUAAUUGAUGAAGUAUGAUGAUCCAGGUGUCCCUGGGUGAAGAAACAACCUCUACAAAGGCCCUGAGAGAUGGGGUCUCCCUAUGCUUCCCAGGCUGGUCUCGAACU